UGCCAGCUCUCCGAGUGGUAGGGAUGAUUAUUGGGCUUAAAGCGUCCGUAGCCGGCUUAGCAAGUUUCCUGUUAAAUUCAGCGACCUAAUCGUUGAGCCGCGGGAAAUACUACUAGGCUAGGAGGCGGGAGAGGUCGACGGUACUUCUGGGGUAGGGGUGAAGUCCUAUAAUCCCGGGAGGACCACCAGUGGCGAAGGCUGUCGACUAGAACGCGCUCGACGGUGAGGGACGAAAGCUGGGGGAGCGAACCGGAUUAGAUACCCGGGUAGUCCCAGCUGUAAACGAUGCGGGCUAGGUGUUGGGGUGGCUACGUGCCACUUCAGUGCCGCAGGGAAGCCAUUAAGCCCGCCGCCUGGGGAGUACGGCCGCAAGGCUGAAACUUAAAGGAAUUGGCGGGGGAGCACCACAAGGCGUGAAGCUUGCGGUUC
rnacentral:rRNA from 1 species